GCCUACGGGACGCAGCAGUCGGGAAUAUUGCGCAAUGGAGGAAACUCUGACGCAGUGACGCCGCGUGCAGGAAGAAGGUUUUCGGAUUGUAAACUGCUUUAGAUAGGGAAGAAAAAAAUGACAGUACCUAUAGAAUAAGCUCCGGCUAACUACGUGCCAGCAGCCGCGGUAAUACGUAGGGAGCGAGCGUUAUCCGGAUUUAUUGGGUUUAAAGGGUGCGUAGGCGGAAUAUCAAGUCAGCGGUAAAAAUUCGGGGCUCAACCCCGUCGUGCCGUUGAAACUGAUGUUCUUGAGUGGGCGAGAAG
rnacentral:rRNA from 1 species